ensembl:lncRNA
GUUUAUUCCAUUGUUGGUCCAUUUCAAAUGACGUUAAACUACUUUACAGUCAUAAAUGAAAGUUCCAAAUCUUUGUAGAGCAGCUGUGAAUCAUGGAUCUUCAAAGAGAAUACUCUGAAGGACAAAGAGUGGGUUCAAGACAACGUUCAGAAUAGAGGCUGAAAAACAAGUUCGACAGGGUGUGGAAGAGAACUCUGAGAACAAAGGCUGUCUCCAGGGGACAAGAGCAGAAGUCAAGUGGGCUGGCAUAAUCUUCGCCUGGUGAGGACCUUGACGGCAGAAGCGUGCAAAUAGAAGCAACCUGUGGC